UACGUAGGGGGCAAGCGUUGUCCGGAUUUAUUGGGCGUAAAGAGCGUGUAGGCGGUUUGGUAGGUCCGCUGUGAAAACUCGAGGCUCAACCUCGAGACGCCGGUGGAAACCAUCAGACUAGAGUCCGGAAGAGGCGAGUGGAAUUCCUGGUGUAGCGGUGGAAUGCGCAGAUAUCAGGAGGAACACCAAUAGCGAAGGCAGCUCGCUGGGACGGUACUGACGCUAAGGCGCGAAAGCGUGGGGAGCGAACAGG
rnacentral:rRNA from 1 species